UUACGUGGAGGCAUUGGUGGGAUACUACCCUAAUUGUAUUGGAUUUCUAACCCGCAGCACUUAUCGUGCUGGGAGACAGUGUCAGGCGGGCAGUUUGACUGGGGCGGUCGCCUCCUAAAGAGUAACGGAGGCGCUCAAAGGUUCCCUCAGAAUGGUUGGAAAUCAUUCAUAGAGUGUAAAGGCAUAAGGGAGCUUGACUGCGAGACCUACAAGUCGAGCAGGGUCGAAAGACGGACUUAGUGAUCCGGUGGUUCCGCAUGGAAGGGCCAUCGCUCAACGGAUAAAAGCUACCCCGGGGAUAACAGGCUUAUCUCCCCCAAGAGUUCACAUCGACGGGGAGGUUUGGCACCUCGAUGUCGGCUCAUCGCAUCCUGGGGCUGUAGUCGGUCCCAAGGGUUGGGCUGUUCGCCCAUUAAAGCGGUACGCGAGCUGGGUUCAGAACGUCGUGAGACAGUUCGGUCCCUAUCCGUCGUGG
rnacentral:rRNA from 1 species